AACGUAGGAGGCAAGCGUUAUCCGGAGUUACUGGGCGUAAAGAGUGCGUAGGCGGAAAUGUAAGUGGGUGGUGAAAGCGCCCGGCUAAACCGGGCGAGGUUCAUUCAGACUGCAUUUCUAGAGGCGGAUAGAGGGGUGCGGAAUUUCGGGUGUAGCGGUGAAAUGCGUAGAUAUCCGAAGGAACAUCAGUGGCGAAAGCGGCUUCCUGGACCAGAACUGACGAUCAGGCACGAAAGCGUGGGGAGCAAACAGG
rnacentral:rRNA from 1 species